GAUGAACGCUGGCGGCGUGCUUAACACAUGCAAGUCGAACGAAGCACCUUGGACAGAUUCUUCGGAUGAAGUCCUUAGUGACUGAGUGGCGGACGGGUGAGUAACGCGUGGGUAACCUGCCUCAUACAGGGGGAUAACAGUUAGAAAUGGCUGCUAAUACCGCAUAAGCGCACAGUACCGCAUGGUACGGUGUGAAAAACUCCGGUGGUAUGAGAUGGACCCGCGUUGGAUUAGCUAGUUGGCAGGGUAACGGCCUACCAAGGCGACGAUCCAUAGCCGGCCUGAGAGGGUGGACGGCCACAUUGGGACUGAGACACGGCCCAGACUCCUACGGGAGGCAGCAGUGGGGAAUAUUGCACAAUGGGGGAAACCCUGAUGCAGCGACGCCGCGUGAGCGAAGAAGUAUUUCGGUAUGUAAAGCUCUAUCAGCAGGGAAGAAAAUGACGGUACCUGACUAAGAAGCC
rnacentral:rRNA from 1 species